UACGUAGGGUGCAAGCGUUGUUCGGAAUCAUUGGGCGUAAAGCGAGAGUAGGUGGUUUGCUAAGUCGGGUGUGAAAUCCCUGGGCUCAACCCAGGAAGUGCAUUCGAAACUAGCUGGCUAGAAGAUGGUAGAGGAAGGUGGAAUUCCAAGUGUAGAGGUGAAAUUCGUAGAUAUUUGGAGGAAUACCGGCGGCGAAGGCGGCCUUCUGGACCAUUCUUGACACUGAGACUCGAAAGCGUGGGUAGCAAACAGG
rnacentral:rRNA from 1 species